rnacentral:tRNA from 1 species
GCCCGAGUGGCGAAACUGGUAGACGCUGAGGACUUAAAAUCCUUUGGCCGAAAGGCCGUACGAGUUCAAGUCUCGUCUUGGGCA